rnacentral:rRNA from 1 species
GGCAGACGGGUGAGUAACAUGUAGGUAUCUGCCCUUUGGCCUGGAAUAACACGAGGAAACUUGUGCUAAUACUGGAUAAGUCUUUACGGAGAAAGCUUUAUGCACCAUUGGAUGAGCCUGCACUUGAUUAGUUUGUUGGUGGGGUAAUGGCCUACCAAGACUGUGAUCAAUAGCUGAUUUGAGAGGAUGAUCAGCCACAUUGGGACUGAGACACGGCCCAAACUCCUACGGGAGGCAGCAGUGGGGAAUCUUGCACAAUGGAGGAAACUCUGAUGCAGCGAUGCCGCGAGAGUGAAGAAUGCCCUUGGGUUGUAAAGCUCUUUCGUCGGGGAAGAAAAUGACUGUACC